UUUGGUGGCGAUAGCGAAGAGGUCACACCCGUUCCCAUACCGAACACGGUAGUUAAGCUCUUCAGCGCCGAUGGUAGUCGGGGCCCACC
rnacentral:rRNA from 1 species